CAAGAAAAGCAUCGACGCGAGGUUCAAGUCACCCGUACCCCAAACCGACUCAGGUGUUCAGGUAGAGAAUACCAAGGAGAUCGAGAGAAUCGUGGUUAAGGAACUCGGCAAAAUGCCCCCGUAACUUCGGGAGAAGGGGGGCCCGCGGUGUGAAGGGAUUUACUCCUGGAGCACCAUACGGCCGCAGAGACCAGUGGGAAGCGACUGUUUACUAAAAACACAGGUCCGUGCCAAGUCGCAAGACGAUGUAUACGGACUGACGCCUGCCCGGUGCUGGAAGGUUAAGAGGAACGGUUAGCCGCAAGGCGAAGCUGAGAAUUUAAGCCCCAGUAAACGGCGGUGGUAACUAUAACCAUCCUAAGGUAGCGAAAUUCCUUGUCGGGUAAGUUCCGACCUGCACGAAUGGCGUAACGACUUCCCAGCUGUCUCAACCGCGAACUCGGCGAAAUUGCACUACGAGUAAAGAUGCUCGUUACGCGCAGAAGGACGGAAAGACCCCGUGACCUUUACUA
rnacentral:rRNA from 1 species